GGGCAUGUAGUAUAGUUGGUUAUUGCGCCCGCUUCGCAUGCAGGAUCAAACCAGUGGGUCAUUGCGGGAGGUCUGGCGUUCGAAUCGCCACUUGUCCA